AUACACAAGAAAUUCCAAAAAACAGGAGUUGUUCUGCAGUUCUGAUUUCCUUGGAUUUGAAGAAAAAAACCUCAACUUUUGAAUCUGUACCACGUUUCUGGAAUUGCAUUUGAGAGACCAGCACUCUCAGAAUGGUUGAAAAACGACAGCAGAAUCUGGAAGAUAUUGAACAAAAUGUCACUGAGCUGUUACCCAGGAACCCAUACUGCCCCAAUGAAGGCAUGCACUGUGGCUGCAGACUGCCUAACGUGCCUCUCCAGACACCUGUGGU